GCUUAUCCCCUUUGUUUUAUGAAAGACAAAAUGAUUCUGCAUAUAUUCUUAAUCAAUUUAGAUGCCACUCAUCAAAACAAGGCCACCAAUAUAAUAAAGUGUUUUUAAUAGAACAUGUAGGAAACAAAGAGAGUUUGAAGGUGGAGGGGGAAGUCGGGUAUGAUGAUCUUUACGACCAAGUCUUGGAGUUCAACCGUAGUAAAUACUGUAGAAAGGUGAUGAAGUUAGUUGAUAUAGGAGGAGGUAGGUUUUUAUACUAGAUCUAUUAAAGUUUCAUUCUUACCAAUUCAUCACGUUGUAUAUUUAAAAUUAUCAUAUUUAGUACAUAAUGAACAUAUAUAUUGUCCUUACUAAGCUUCUUGUAUACAGAGCCUAUUCAAAUUCUUCAAGGUUGAGUUGAAAGUUUUUUCAACUCUAUUAAAAAGUGUGACGUGAAAUAGUUUCGAAAACAAGUAUACAGAGCCUAUUUAUAAUUUUUUUUUAAAAUUAUCAAUUUGAUGAUUUUUUUUUUGAACCGUACGAUUUUAUAAUAAUCGGCUCUGAUUAUUUGGUUCGAAUGGUUUUGGAAGGUUCAAUCCAUUUUUUUUUGUUUUACUCCGAUUUUGACCCAUUAACGAUUUUGAAAGGUUGACCAAACCAGAUUUAUCUCCGAUUCCUGGUCCAACCGGUUGAACCGGCUGAUUCGGUCUGGUU